rnacentral:pre_miRNA from 1 species
ACAUUGGUUGACCACUAGCGAGGUAUAGAGUUCCUACGUGUAAUUAAUUUGUAGGAACUUCAUACCGUGCUCUUGGAUUAGCCGUA